rnacentral:rRNA from 1 species
AUUGAACGCUGGCGGCAGGCUUAACACAUGCAAGUCGAACGAGUGGCGGACGGGUGAGUAAUGCUUGGGAAUCUGGCUUAUGGAGGGGGAUAACGACGGGAAACUGUCGCUAAUACCGCGUACCAUAGGAUGAGCCCAAGUGGGAUUAGGUAGUUGGUGGGGUAAUGGCCUACCAAGCCGAAGCUCCCUAGCUGGUCUGAGAGGAUGACCAGCCACACCGGGACUGGGACCCGGCCCCGACUCCUACGGGAGGCAGCAGGUGGGAAUAUUGCGCAAUGGACGGAAGGCUGACCGAGCAACGCCGCGGGAGUGAAGAAGGUUUUCGGAUCGUAAAGCUCUGUUGUAAGAGAAGCGGUAUCUUACCAGAAAGCGACGGCUAACUACGUGCCAGCCGCCGCGGUAAUAC